GUGUGAUCAUCCCUUCUCUUUGGCCACUGAUGGGUCCAAUGAUACUGGCAGAGAGAAGUUGAAUCCACUGACUGUCAACAUUUGGAGUUCACAAGGUGUGAUUCAACGAUUUCUUGACAUGGGUCUGACAUCAGGAACCAGCUGUGGCACUGCUGAGGCCAUAUUCAACAAAAUGAAUGAGGUGCUGGAAGGCCACAGUAUCCCAUGGGCCAACUCUGUGGCCCUUGCAGUUGACAGUGCUAGUGUCAAUCUGGGAGCCAGGAAUUCGAUUAAGAGCAGGGUCCUGGACCAAAAUCCAUCUAUCUACGUUCUUGGCUGUCCCUGCCACAUUGUGCACAAUAAUGCACACGCUGGUGGCUUGGUGUACUCCGAGAUGUCGGGCUUUGAAGUCGAAGAUUUCUGCGUCGAUCUUGCCUACUGGUUUAAAUCCAGCACCAAAAGAAAGAACAUGCUUCAUGGCAAGUUAUCCUCACAUAACACAUUUAUUCUACUCAAAAGCAUUGAUUCAGAAAUAAUUUGAAGGGCCAAUCUAAAAUACAUAUUUUGUUCUAUUCCGAAUUCUGUGUGUUUUGUGACACCACGUACAUGGAGGUACUUCAGCAUUUUAGCAUUAGGUGGCUCAGUUUGGAUCUGGCUGUCAACCGCAUACUCCGUGUCUACAAGGCCCUGACAAGCUACUUCAGAUCCACUGACGAAAAGCAAGCCAGGUGUCUGCGGCUCCGUGCCUUAUUUGAGGAUCCAUUGACAGAGGUUCAUCUCCUCUUCUACCAGGCACUUCUGCCUACAUUCUGCCAGUUUAAUUUGUUGUUCCAGAGGCAGCACCCAUGCAUCUAUCUUCUCCAUGGGCAGGUGAGGGCAUUCAUCCGAAAGCUAAUGUCCAAAUUCUUGAAGCCUGCAGCUUUCAGAACAACAAGCUUGGAGAGUGUUGAUCUUCAGGAUCAAGAAAACCAACUGCCAGACACCCAGCUUGGCAUUGGACUGACUACAAAGUCCACACUGAUAAGGCUGCAUGA